GAUGAACGCUGGCGGCGUGCCUAAUACAUGCAAGUCGAGCGAACAGAUAAGGAGCUUGCUCCUUUGACGUUAGCGGCGGACGGGUGAGUAACACGUGGAUAACCUACCUAUAAGACUGGGAUAACUUCGGGAAACCGGAGCUAAUACCGGAUAACAUAUUGAACCGCAUGGUUCAAUAGUGAAAGGCGGCUUUGCUGUCACUUAUAGAUGGAUCCGCGCCGUAUUAGCUAGUUGGUAAGGUAACGGCUUACCAAGGCAACGAUACGUAGCCGACCUGAGAGGGUGAUCGGCCACACUGGAACUGAGACACGGUCCAGACUCCUACGGGAGGCAGCAGUAGGGAAUCUUCCGCAAUGGGCGAAAGCCUGACGGAGCAACGCCGCGUGAGUGAUGAAGGUCUUCGGAUCGUAAAACUCUGUUAUCAGGGAAGAACAAAUGUGUAAGUAACUGUGCACAUCUUGACGGUACCUGAUCAGAAAGCCACGGCCAACUACGUG
rnacentral:rRNA from 1 species